AUUAAAUUCUUUUUCUAUUAAAGGCACCCACCGAAAUCCAGCAUGUUAGAUGCACCUGAAUUCCACAGCCAAUAAAAAUGUGUUACGUAACCUGCAUGUAAGAAUUUCCUACAACCAAGUUUUGUAGAGGUUUGCACUCGUUUUCUUGAUUUUUGAAAGGAAGAGGUUAACAAUUAUCUCCAUUGUAAGUGGCACCGUUUGUAUCUUUGCCUUUUGGCUUAUUUAUAACUCUUCCAGUCUCCACAGUCUGCAGAACCAUAUUCAAUUUCAGGUCUUCAUUUCUCUAACUCCUCUCAACCCUCGUAUCUCAAAAAGAGAAAUAGUUAGUUAUUCUAUCUACUUGUUCUUUGUGCCUGAAUCUUGACCCAGGUUUUAAGCCUAAUUUUACCUGUGCGCUUUUAUUUUAUUUUUAUUUCAUUUCACUUCUGGGUAGUAUACCGCUGUGAUCAAAUUUGAUAAGCUCAGACUACAAAAAUCCUCCUGAAUUAGACUCUCGUUGUAGCAAGAGUUGAAAAAAAAACCAAAAGUCUUUUGAUGUUUUCAUCAUAAGAGGGUAUGGUUGGGAGCUCAUAUAUGCCUCCACAUCAGAAUUAAUUUAACCAAGGAUUCUUGAAUGGCAAUAAUGUUCGACAGUAUGGAAAGGCUUGGACUGAAGCCACGUAAUUGUUGUCCAUCAGUCUGAACCCAUGGUCUUGGCCUUGGGCGCAGUAGGUGGUUGGUCAACACUCGCUAACAUAAUUUCCACUGAGACCUUGCACCUCUUUUGGGCUCGUUUGGUUCGUGGGAAGCAUUUUUCCCUCUAGAAAUAUAAUUCUUGAGAAGCAGAUUUCUAGAAAGAUCGAGAAUGUCUGAGUAUGUACUUUUGGCAUGUUUGGUUUAACAUGGAGAAGUGACAGAUUUUUAGAGUGCUUAUGUUUGGUUGACCAGGAAAAGUUAUGUGUAAUUCCUAUUAUACACAAGGGGUAGGAAGGCCUAAGGGAAUAAGUGACAAGAACAUCGCGUAGGGGAAAGGUACAUAAAGAUGGCGUUAUUCCUUUUGCAGAUUACUUGCAGCUUUCCCUUCUAGCUAUGUGCAUGAAGUGCAUUGAAUACCUUCGUUUACCGCCCCUACAAUUUAUUUCUCCUCUCUGUGUUGCACUGUUCAUCCCAUUUGUGGGACUCUCAAUAAGUGUGUGUGUGUGUGUGAGAGAGAGAGAGAGAGAGGUGCAUGCAUGACCAGGGACCAGGGGGUGUGGCAUUGCAUGGGAUGAAGCAAGAUGUUUUUUCUUUCUGCUGGGCUGGUUCCUGAGGAGCCCAUUGCUCCUCAUGAAGGCAACCAUUUGCCUAACAAGUAAGAAGGUGGUGAUGCUUGUGGGGUGCUGAUGGGUUCUCUGAACAGAAACUCAUGUUAUUAUCUCCCUAACAAGUAAGAGGGUGGUAGUGUUCCAGAUAUCACGCACCAUUGACACAUGCAACAAUCCUUCAUGCAUCAUAGACUAUCAUCACAUGUUUCCAUGCCAAUCCUGCAAACCAUCCUAUAUCAUCCAAAUCCAUGAUCAAAAUCAGAGGGUGAAAUCAUUAGGGUGGUGAGGUCGUCGAUUCGCUUCACCUUAGGGUGAAAUUAUUAGGUGGAUAUAUUUUGAUGGAUCUGGUCCACCUAAUAUUUCAAUUAGUGUUAAGCAACGUGCAUGGUUUAUUUAAGAGGAAAGAUUGUUCCGAUGGAUGGCUGUGACUGCAUUAAUCAUAAUUAUUUGGAAUUUUUGCUUUUUUUAAAAAAAAAUCACCUGUUGGAAACAACGGAGCAUGACUCUUCUAAAAUAAAGAUGACCGCGAAGACGGAGAGCCGGCUGAUGGUGAGCCGAAGCAGGGUGACGGUGGGCCGAACCAGAGGGAUACGCGACGGAGGCGGCGGGAGGUGUGCAGACGACGGUGAGGAGGUCAGCACGCUUAGGAGCGUCGCGGACGACGAAGGUGGCGACGAGGGCGAGGAGGCGGUUGCGGAGGGUGGCGUAGGAGUAGAGGGCGGUGGGAGAGGGAGGGAUACGCCGGGGAAGUAUGCAGUCUCGCCGAGGAGGACAGGAUCCUUGGGUGAUGACUGAUGAAGAACGCGAUUCAUGGUUUGGUUUUAAUUGCAGGUUCGAUUGGUUGUUAUCAUUUUAAUUAGUUACUUAGAGUUUUGUAAUUUUAUAGUACCUGCAUACUUGAAUUCUCUUAUUUCUAGCCGUGAGCUUGUACAGGCUUGGCUAUAUGGAGGAACCAAAUCAGAUACUGUAGCUUUGGUUUUGCAAGAUUGGAUUUGCUGCAUUAUGCUUAUUUGUGCUGCACAUUUUGUGUUAAAAUAUUGCAGCAGGAGAGAAAAACAAGAGAAAAACAGAAAAAAAAUAUUUUUUUUUGUAUUCUUUUAUAUUUGGUACAUCUCAGGAGCUAUAUAUAUAUUUCUAUAUAGACUUCAUAUAAAAAAAAUGAUAUAGGCUGCUAUAAGUUUGCACUAACAAAAGAAAAUACUAUGGGUGAUAAAGAUUAUGUGCUUUCUAAAAUUAUUCGAAUAAGAUCAUAUUAACAAAAAAAAAAUAUUGGUUGAUAUAGAAUCAUGCUAAUAAAGAAAAAUAUUACGGGGUUGUUAUAUGAUCCCUAAAAUUAUGUUAACAUUUUGUUUGGAACUCUGGAUUUCUUUUGAUGCUUGUCAUCUGAGGUAGGGUGGUAUUUUUUUUCCUACUAGCAUGUGCUGACUCUGAAUUUCUAUUACCUUCCAAAGAUCUGCAUCUAUUUUCAGCAUGUUACGGGUUCUGAAUUCAGUAUGUUGGAUAAGAAUAAUUGGUCUCAUCUCUCUUUUCUCUUAUGUUGAAUAUGUUCUAUGUUUAGUGGAAUUUAUUGGUUCAUGCAUAUGGGGCUGUUGAAUAGCUUCUAGGCUUCCUGCUGGGUGAAUCAAAUAGCUGUCUCCAAAUCAUCUUUCCGCUUGAAGCUUUUGGAGCACGUCUCUCCGAGUGUUUAUAAAAUAUUCCAUCCUGCAAUAGAGGUACAGCUUAAUUUAAUAAUUGACUUAUGCCUUUUAGACUUGGUUUCUUGUUUUUUGAUUGCUAAAGCUUGGAAAAACCCUUUUUCUCUUGAUCUUCUUCCAUUAUGUUUUUGACCAAAUACUGCAUUGCUUUCAUCAGGACCUUCCUAUGUUACAGAGGUUUUCUUUUUCUCAAAUUUAGGUUGUAUUUUGUCUCGACCUGCAUAUUUUUGUAGAUCUCCAGAUUUAUCUUCGUUUUGUUCAGCAUCGUUUGAAACUAAGGUGAAUUUGGCAUGCCUGAUGUGCAUUUCACUGCUGAAUUUAUUUGUAUCUUCUUUUUCUUUGAAUGUGAAUUUAUGCAUAUGCACACAUAUACUUUUAAGCAUAGAAGUAUAUGGACAUAUAUACACAUGUGCACACACGUUAAUGCAUGCAUGCAUAAGUAUACAUAUGUGCGAAACUGCAUACAAUUAUCUCUGUGUAAAUGUCUCUCUGUUUGGGCAUACUGACAAACAAAGGUGUUGUUUGUUUAUGCGUUUGCGUCUGCAUGUGAUCAGCGUAGAUGUGCCUGUUCAUCAUAAUGUGUUGUUAGCUUCUCAUAACUAGCUAGAAUUUCUAGUACUUCUUUGGAGCCCUAUUUCCAUCUUCUCUGAAACGAUUCAUUCUCCCAUGGAACUAGCCUGAUGCUAAGCUUAUUGCAGAUAUGGUGCCGCCAACAGCAACUCCUGCUCCUUUGCCAAGUUCAUAGUGGCAAAAAUUUGUCCUUAACUUCCUUUUUCAUAGUUCUUAUAUAUUCUGCCAUGGAUCUAACAUGUUGAUUGCAUGUAGAGGUCAACGAUUUUGUUUACCAGUAUUACCAUUUUCCUCAGCAAGAACUAAAACUGGCUUGUACGUUUCAUCAUGAUUCCAGCAUUCUUUGCCGCUCGGAUUCUGAUGGCGUGAUGAUUACGGUAACAAAAAUGCAAAUAUGUUUUGAAACAAUAGAAAAUAUACUCUUCUAGGUCUUUUAUCAUUUUAAGGUUCUAAAAAUGUCUUCAGCUUUUCUGAAAUUAUUUAACUAAGUUUGAAAGUUCCCUUGCUUUUUCUUUUUGUGCUUUGGUAAUCCUAGAUAAACAUAUGUUUUAGCGUUGCUUGACCAUGAGAUAUCUACUGAGUGGCUUAGAUGAAUUUAUCUUCACAAUUUUCUUAUAUUUGUGGUGCAUAAGUUCUGUAUUAUUUCUUCGAUUUGGUCGUCUCAGUUGUCCUCUCAUGCAGCACAUUUAAUAUUGCACUUCGUAGUUACAGAAUCACUUUCUGUUCUACCACUGUUUGCUCAUCUAUAACCAUCUGCUGAAAAUUAUCUUCUACAACUCAACAGUUAUGCAUAUAGAAUGAAUUCUAAAUUAUAGGACUAGGGCUUCACGUCGGUAUAAUCUAUAACAAGAGUAAACAUAUAUAAUUUUAUUUUGACUCAAAAUCCUUUUCUUUAACUAUUGUGGUUAUUUUACACAAUUUCAGAGCCAGCUUUUUUUUUUUUAGGGAGCAUCAUCUAUCAGACCUUGCAACUACACUCUCAGAGGGGGAUGCCGACAGCGACGAGGAAGUUUCAGAUCCAUCAGAGAAUGCUGGUUUGGAGUUGGAAAUGAGGUUAUUGUGGAUCCACCAGUCCAUGGAAGUACAAGUGAUGCACAACCAGUUUCUGAGACAACUGCAUCUGUCUCUGAGGAGGAUGAACCUAAGAAGUCUCAUGCAUCAAUUGUAAGUUGUUAUCUUUGCCAUGAAGUCUAUUAUGUAAUGUGCAGAAAUAAUAGAUGAUUGGAAAUUUACAACUGGUGCUGUCUUCUGUGUGUCUUUUACACAAUGUUGAAAAUUAUAUUUAACAUAAUUAUCAUGGAAUGGCUCUUUAAUCAAUCAUAAUCUUGCAAGACUUUAAAAUAUUGAAUUAAAAUUUAAUGCUCCUAAAAGUUCAGUUUUUCUUGUAUUCUUGAUUUUUGAGAAAACAUGCCUUUUUAAGUGUCAGACUGAAAGUUUUCCUCCACUGGCUAUUAUCCAUAUUGCUGCUUUUCUUUUUACUUAAUUUUAUCAAACUGGUAGGUUAAUAUGCCUCUGACAGUAUCUAGAAAGCCUGCUCUUGCACCUAAAACUAUUCAUCUUGGCACCAAAACUAUCCCUGAGAACAUCUUGCGUGAAGGCAGGAAACAACUGAGGGCAUGGAACAAGGAUUUGACUACAGAGGAGGUGAAAAAAAGAAGCAAUGGCAAAGAGAAAGAGAGUAGAAAUGUGCGAGAGUACUCAGGAAAGCCUACAUAUCAUGGAUGAAGUGUAGCAUAUACGAAGUUGUCUUAUACUGGAAUUUUGAUGAAGUUAUGCCACAUUUAGAUGGAUAGAUUAGAUCGUAUCCAAAAGAAAAAGAAAAAAAGGAAAAUUUGUGAACUAUACCAAUUUAUCAUUAUGUGGGUUCCAUCUGACAGGCAGCAGAGCCUUUAUAGCUUUUAAGGGUGCAUACAUGCAUGCUUUAUCUUGUUUGUCGGCACAUUUCUCUGGCAUACAUAUGUGCAUUCAACAUCGCUUGAAAAUUCCCCCCCCGGGGAGUAUCCACAUUUCUUGCCACUAGUCCACAAAUUCGAAAUCUCGUAGUGUCAAGCCCUGUCUAAAGUUUGAUGCUGCAUUCGACCAUCAAAUGAUUCGAUGAGUGUUGGAGCUACCUUGAAGUUUUGUUUUAGUAGUAGAAAUGCAUGAAAUACAAAUGAUUGUAUUUUGUUUUAAAAAAAGAGUGCUCAAUAAACAGACAAAAUGAAAACAUAAACAAAAUAAAAGAAAAUAUAAAAUAUUAAGUACAAUGGAGAGAAUGUGGGUUCUAGGUUAAUUAGGAAGAUUUGUUGGGCCUUGAGCAGGUAAGACACAGAGUGAAAAAGCAAGUACAUGCCAUAUUGAGGAUUUUAAAAGAGGAAGAUGAAAGAUAAUCAAGGAAGAAGAUGUAACCAUUAGUCAUAUAUAUAUAUAUAUAUAUAUAUAUAUAUAUAAUCACAGAAAUCUUAGAUCCAUAGCUUCCUUGUAGAUAGAUUAUUCAAAUUGAUGAAUAAGGGCCAACUUAAAUAAGUCGGUGAACUAUAAAGAAAGCACCAAAAUUUAAGAUGAUGACCUGUUUUAGAUUAGAAGAAAUCAGUAAGGACUAAAAUUAUGGAUGAACAAUAUGGUUCAUAAAGAUGGUGAAGAUGUCACACAAAGUCUAUAUUACUAUAUAGACAUGCAAUAUUGCUUAAGUGGGCAUGCUACCAUUUGAAUAAAAAUCCUCUAGCAAGUUCCAAUCUUUUUUUUUCACACAAUUUGGUUGUUUGACAUUUGUUGAUAGGUUUAUUUUUUUCGAAGUAUCCUUUGAGGCCCAUAGCAUGGAUAAAAACAAAAGAUGCAUAGUAUAGAAAAGCCUCAAGUUUGUUUAGCAUGAAUAAAAAGAGCAAUCUUAAAAUAACAAAUAAUCUUAUAUGAACAAUCUUAAAUAGCCAAGAAUUGCUUGUUUCAGACAUACAAGGGGCUCAGCACAAAAAUGUUGGUUUCAAUCCUAACCAUGAUUAGUUAGAUGCUAAUUCUUAUUAUUUAGAGUGCUGAUCUUCUAGGCCCAUGUUUCUGCUACCAUCUCUUUUAAUGAUUUUAAUUGGUUCCAUACUAAGUUUCUAACACCUGAAAACAAAGUCUUCUCUCUCUCUCAUGAAAAAUAGAAAAAUAAAAACUAAGACAAAGUUUCUUCACUUCAAGUAUACUUCAAAAAUCGAAUAACACAUUUUGACUUGAAAGUCAGUUGAAUUGAGUCGACUAAAAGACCUGAUCGAGUCCUCAAUGAGUUCUGUACAUGAAGACUUGAUAAUAAAAUAACAUAAGCAUGUAAACUACCAAUUUUCAGUAGCAUGCGUAUGACACAUAUACAUGACAUUUAAGAACUAAAAUAUAUUAAGAUUUAUUAAUAUAUUUCUUAAGCAAAAAGGUAGAAAAUCUACCUCUCAUCUCAUUAAGCAAACACAAACCCUCAGGACAGAGGUACAUGGAUGAUUAUUUGACUCACCUCAUCCUAGAUUACUUGCCACCUUAGUGGAGACCCACAAUGCUGAUAUAGGGCUAUAUCAAGACAACAUCAACCCUUCCCUGCUCCAUAUAUCACAGCACUACUCAACUUAAGGAAAAACAAGUGACAGGGUACUAUCGGAGAAUAAUGGGUGCUUUUUUAUACCGUCUACUAUGUAUUGUACAUAUUACGAGAGCAUUAAAACCCUAAGACCUAAACUCUAACUAGAUUUCAAAUCAUGAAGACACAAUGUUACCAAAGGAAAGAGAAGAAUAGCAUGAAAAAAGAAAAAAAUAGCAACUUAACUAGAUUGCGUUGAGCUUGGGGUAUACAGUAAGGAGUUAGAGGUUUAGGGCUUCAAUAUGUGAUAAGUGAUUGCUAGGAUGGUCAGCAUUGAGAGUGGUUGGAAGUGGAAUGUUGGGCAGCACUAGCAAUAAGCAGAGAUCCUAUGGUGGUUGGAUGAUUGUUGUUGCCAUCAAAGAGGUAGGAUAGUGAGCAUAGGAAGCUCCAAAAAUGAUGGGAAAUUGAAAUUUUUUGGGAAUGGAGCAUUGAAUAGAAAGCUUCAGCCAACAUCUCUUUAAUUUCUCAAUAAUACAAUAAUCCCAUAAAAUAUAUAUCAUCUUGAAUAACAUUAUGAAGUGUGGACUUUAAAAGCAACUUGUGAAAUUGUGGAUGUGUCUACUCUCUACGACUGUUUACACCGCAUCUCAAUAAUAUGGAUGGUCGUUGAUAGUAAAUGCCACAUGAAGCGGAUUUGAGGGAGUCGGAUAAGAAAAAGUCAUGCGACCAUUGCAAGACUAUGUAGAAUUUGGUUGGAGUGAGUUAUGCUAAGUGUGAAAAAAAAAUUGAAUAGAUAGGAUGGCCAGGACAUGGACGAGCAAGCAAAAAAUUUAGAAUUAUAUAUCGAUACCGAUAGCAAGCUAAGAGGCAUGGAGUGACCCAAGUUGUAGUUACAUUGCAUAGGGGAUUAUAGAAGAAUUAUAGAAGUUGUCAAUACCGUAGAAGAUCGUGGCGAUAAGGAUAAUUACAAGGAUCAGCGGUUGUACUACGGUUAUCUUAUGUUGUAGUUACGCUUCGGUUAUCUUGUCUUUGUAAAAAUCUUAUAAUUGUACUCUUAUAAAAAUUCUUCAACAAUCAAUCUAAUUAAUUUAUCUUUAUUUUUACUUUUACCUUAGUUGCUUAUCCUAAAAGUAGGCAUAACUUGGAUCAUCUAUCGUAGUCCAAUGCUACAUUCUUACCGUAGCCCAACACUAUAACUCUCUACCAUAAUCUAGCACUACAACUCUCUAUCAUAGCCUAACGUUGUACCCUUUUAUCGUAGCUCAACACUACACUCUUCUAUCAUAGUCUAGCGCUACACCCUUAUCCAGUUCUAUCUUCUUCGAAAGAUGGUGUAAUGCUGGCGAAAACCCUUGAAAGUCAAAACAUCCGGACCCACACUAUGCUUUAUCCUCCAUUCAACCUAUAUCUUUUGUCUAGCCUAACACUCUAGGAACAUCCGCAUAAGCAUCUAGGCCUCGCCCAGAUAAGCUUGGUGGCAUGCUCUCUACCUUGACCAAUCGAGUUCUUCGGGCUCCUACAUUCUCUAAUUUGCUCAGAAUGGGACGAAAAGGGUGCAACAGAGACAAGUCGAGUCAAACAAGUUGAACCGAGUCGCAAGUUAUCAACUCGAGCUAGUCAAACCCAAUCCAAAGCUCCAAUCUUACACAAGCCAACUUCUCUGCUAAAUCGACUCAAGAAUCUAUCUUGUUAAGUUGACUUAUUUGAGUUUCGAGUCAACUUGGCAAAUUUUGAACCAUGGCUUCAAGCUCUCUCCUCCUGUGCUCGUAACCUUUAGCUCCAAGGAUGGAGGCGAAGAACUCUUACCACUUUUGCACCUCUAUAUCCUCCUCUUCCAGCACCCUCCAUCUCUUGCCACAAAGGCACUACUCCAGCCAAACCCUAGGAGGAGGGUUGGAAUCAAGGUAGUGGAUCGCUAAUUUCCAACAAUGAUUGCAGGGUCUCAUGAGGUUUUCACUCGUGUGGUGUUUAGGAAUUUAGCAUAUUUUUUUAUUUUUCUUCCAUACGCCAAAAGAGAAAAGUCCCUAUUAACCCUUUCUAGCUUGGAUGGUAGGCUCAAAAUUAACACAGUUGGACCAAUCAACAAGCUGUAACAGAGAAUUAACAUAGAAAGAGUAAUAGAGAAUCCAAACAAGAUUCUUUUGGGUGUUUAUAGACUCGUUUUGGCAAAUUUUUUGAACCUAAUUUUUAGAACUUUUUAAUGCAGAAGCAACACCAAACACAUCCUUAGAUAGAAAGUUUUAAGGUUGUUUGCUAUAAUAGAGAAUAUGGUACGAUACAUGGGCUAACAGUUAUGUAUUUAGCACAGCACAUAUGUGGAGCUGCAUAGAAAUUUUUAUGAAUGAAGGUCGUUUGGAACUUUACUUUUGUGCGAGAUGCGGCCCUUUACUACAUUAUGAGUAAACUCACAUCGGGGCUUUUAAUACUAAAAAUUUAGGUAGUCUCUAUUGGCAACAAAUACUGGGUAACUGAGAGAUUGCUCUGGUUGAGCUAGAACAAUAUUUUUUUCAUAAAAAUUUUUAAUAUCUUAAUAAAUAUAUAAUCACCAAGAUACUCUAAUAUCAACUGAUAUAGCAAAGCAGGACUAAGAUUUGCUUAAAUUAAUUCAAAUUAGCAAUUUGAAACCCAAUUACAAAAUAAGAAAAAAAAUUAAAGAAACGACGGCAAAUUGUUUAAGAUGCAUGAUGUAUCACAAUAAUAUCUGAUAUUUUACAUAGAUAAAAUUGAUGAGAUCAUUAUAACAAUAUAUAUAGACAAUGAAUAAUUCAACCAAGAAGGAACUCAUGAUACAUAUAUCCCAAAGUAUCCAAAUUAUUCGCAAAGAUUUUCUCACGCAAGUGCUAGAUCCACUAUUUCUUUUAAAAAAAAUAUAGACAAAUAAAGAAAUGAAAUGGUAUACCGUGCAUCAAGCUAAAUGAAAAUCCUUUAUAACCCUAGCCAUAUCUAAUUUACCAAGUAAUUUGGUUUUAAAUUAAAAAUAUAUAUAAAUAAUAUUUCAUCAAGCAAUGAGGAUUUCGUAUGACUUGAAUUAUAGAGUUUUUUUUUCUUUUCUGGGAAUGGCUUACCUCAUGGACAAUUUCUUUUUUUUUUUUAUGUGUGUGUCAAUGUUGUAACGGACAAAUAGACAAUCUGUGUGCAAGACUCGCACCGAACCCAUUUCCGCUCAUGGUAAACCCAAAACCCCGAGGGUCACAACCACGCCUCAGGCCACGUUCCCCUCUUUUAAAAGCUCUCCCUGCGGCGCUCUCUCUGCUCUCCGCUCGCCUACCCUUCUCUCGGUGGUCUCAUCUUCUCUCUCGAUUCGAGGGCUCCGAUCGAAGCGGAGCUCCACCUCCCCUCGGGCCACCGCCGCCUCCUGACGAAAGUAAGCUUCUUCUCCGCCCUCUCCGAUACAUACAUUUGCUCCCAUUCUUCGGUUCUGAUGAGGUCUUCUCCUCCUUUCCGAAAUCUUAGUUGCGCCCUUUUUUUUCUUAUGGGUUUUUCGUUUCUGAUCGAUCUGCUUCCACAAGAAAGCCCAAAGUUGUUUUUUUCUUGUCCUUUUUGUGUUCAGGUUGCUAGAUAGAUGGCCUUCGAAUACUGCUAAUUUUCUUCAGGGGUUUUGUUCUGUGGUUGCCUGUAUUUGAUUGAUCUCCCUUGAUUUGUUUAUUUAUUAUUUAGUUAUAUAUGCUUUUUGAGUGAGGUUUAAGCUAGGCAGCCGAGAUUUUGAGGUUUGGGGCUCAUCUUGCUUUUCUUGUGUGCGCCCUCGUGUAUUAGGGUUUUGGUGUCCUUUCGAGGUUCUUUUGUUAUAUCGGAGGGUUUGGGUUUUGUUGGGUGAUGACGAAUGCGAUUCGUGGUUUGGGUUUAAUUGUUGGUAAGAUUGGUUGCGAAUUUCCUCUUACAUGGCGUUUGAGUGAGGGAUUUUCCACUCUACUUUUGAGUGAUAUUAUUAAAAUAUGGCCUUUGAGUAGGUUUUCCUUUAGGCAUUCAUUUAGUUUUCUUUCUUGUUCGGUUGACUUUGUUCUUGUCAUAUUUUUAUUGUUUUCGUGUAUUUUUCUUCGCUGGGAGGUUUAUCUUUAAUCCUGGAAAUUAGAAUAUUUAGAUUUAGUGUUUUUCCUGUCUUGUUGUCUGCUUGCUAGUUCUUUGUAUUAGGGUUGCAAUUCUCUACGUUUUUCAGCACCCUGGAUUGUGAAGAAUGUGAUUAAUCAUUUGGGUUUAACUGUGACUCGGAUUAAUUGUGAUCAUUUUAGGUAUUUAGGAUUUCUCUUUUUUUUGGGGUGGUACCUGUAUGCUUACAUUCUCUUAUUUGUCACUAAUAGUUUGUACAUUGUUAGCUCUAUGGAGGAACCGAAUCAGUUUCUGGAGAAUUGGAUUUUGCUACAUGACUCUUAUUUGUUGCCCCACUUUGUGUGUAGGUCUUUUAUUGUGUUAUGGAUAUAGGUAUUUAAGCAAAUAUGCUUAUGUCUGGAUUAAUGUCCAUGUAUUUGUGUGUACUGGGAAAAAAUAUUUGUUUGCUUGUGUCUUUGCAUGUGCAUGUCUGUAUACAUUUGCCUUUGCACCAGAUAUCAGGUUCUAAUAAAUAGAGUAUCCUGGUACUUCUUUAGGAUCCUUUUUAAAUUUUCUAAAAGGAACUCCUUUUUCUGGUUCCUUUUGUGUCAUCUAAUCCAUAGCAUCUCUCUCUUUUUCUUCCUUAAUUAUAUUGAUUGCAUAAAAGUUUGCUUGUUUUCUUCGUAAAUUUUGAGUUCCGUUUCUGUCAUUUGAUACGCAUCAUCUCUCUCUCUCUCUCUCUUUUCUCUUGAUUCUAUUGACUGAAGAACAGUUUGCUUGUUUCCUUACAAUUAAGUCUCAUGUGCAUAUACAUGUUUUUGUUGUCAGCAAGGUUCUAAUAUCAGAAUAUCCUCUACUUCUCUAGAACCCUUUUCUUUAUUUUUUUUAAAGAAACUGUUCUUGGUUCUUCUUGCAGCAUUUUAUAUAUUUAAUUUUAUUGACUUCAUAGUAAAUUGUAUUUCGGUAAACUUUGAGUCGCGUGCAUGCUAUUUUGUUUGUUGGUGAGAUGCUUGUCUUAAUUUAUGUUUCUUAUGGAACCUAACUGAUGCAACAUUGCAGGCAUGGCAUUGCCAGCUGCAACUCUUGCUCCUCUGCCAAGUCCACAAGUGGUACAGAUUUAUUCCUUCACUCCUGUUUUUCAUAGUUUUUAUAUUUUCUGCCAUGUACCUAAUACGUUGUAUUGCUUCUACAGAUUGGUAGUGCCUUUGUUCACCAGUAUUACCAUAUUCUUCAUCAAACACCAGAACAGGUUUAUAGGUUUUAUCAGGAUUCAAGCAUUCUUAGUCGCCCAGAUUCUGAUGGCAUGAUGACUUCCGUAACAACAUUGCAAGUAUGUUUUGAAAUGAUGCAAAACAUACUCUUCUUUUUUUGAUUAUUUUAAGAUUCUAAAAGUGAUUUUCAUUUUUUUUAAAAUCUCUCAGCUAAGUUUAAAAGACUUCCUUCCUUUGUUUUCUUUUGUUUAUAACAAGUGGCAUAUUUCUAUCUGUUCUAGGGUUCUUUGUUUUCCAUCAUGCAUUUAAGCUAAGACAGAAUAUUAACGGGAUGUAUAUUCCUUCUAUUCUUUUAUGCUGUUUUAGGCUAUCAACGACAAGAUUAUGUCAUUAAACUUCAAGGACUGGUUUACUAAGAUAGAGACUGUAGACUCUCAGAUGUCCUACAAGAAUGGUGUGUUCAUUGUUGUUACUGGAUCCUUGACUGGGCUGGAUAAUGUGUGGCAGAAAUUUGCCCAGUCAUUCUUCCUUGCCCCACAGGAAAAUGGAGGUUAUUUUGUCCUAAAUGAUGUUUUUAGAUUUGUGAAUGAAAAGCAACCAGCUGAAAUUAAUCCGAUGUUACUAAAUGGUACCAGCAAUGAUGCCCCUAAAGCCCCAGCAACUGCUGAACCAGGUAUGUUGAAUUUUCUGUAUAAUGUCCUCUAAUUAAGUCCUUUUUUGAACUAUUUUAACUAUUUCACCUCACAUUUUCAGAACCAGCUUCAGUUCAGGAGCAUCAUGUAGUGGGCCUUGCAACUCCUCAGUCAGAGGGGAAUGCUGACAAUGGCGAGGAAGUUUUUAACCCAUCAGAGAAUGGUGGUUCAGGAGUUGAAGAUGAGGUUGCUGUGGAUCCACCAGUCCAUGAGAGUCAAAGUGAUGCACGACCAGUUUCUGAGACUACUUCUUCUGUGGCUCAGGAUGAUGCACCUAAGAAGUCUUAUGCAUCAAUUGUGAGCAUUUAUCUUUGCCAUAAAGACUAAUUUAUAUGUGCAGAAAUAAUAAAUGAUCUGUAAUUUUGCUAGUGGUAGUGUUUUCUGAGAUUUUUCUUGUGCAUAUUGAAAAUUUUGCUUCCUAGUAUUAUCAUGAAAAGCUCUUUAGGCAAUUAUUCCCUUGCAUAACUUGAAAUUUUAAAAAUUUUAUUUGAUGCUUCUGAAAGUUAUUAUGGUAUAUUUAUAUUUUUCUUUUUACGUAAUUUUUAAUGAGAUGGCAGGUUAAGGUUAUGAAGGGAAGCCCAUCACCAAAACCGGUAUAUGUGCCCACUACUAAGACAAAGCCAGCUCCUGCUAGCCCUGAGAAACCUGCGGCUGCAUCCACUGUGCCUGCUCGUGCCCCUGAAACUCCGGUUUCUGAUAGCAAAGGUGUCCCUGAGAAGAACUCUCAUGAAGGUGUGCUCGGUAUUUUUCUGUGAGAAGUAUAUUGUCCUAAAAUUACUCCUUUGUUACUUUUAUUUUUCCCUAAUUAUUAGACUUUUCUCACUCUGCAGUGGAGGGUCAUUCCAUCUAUAUCCGCAACCUGCCUUUGAAUGCAACGGCGGAACAAGUUGAGGAUGAGUUCAAGAAAUUCGGGACAAUUAAGGCUGGUGGUGUCCAAGUUAGAAGCCAUAAGGUUGCUAGAUCUUGUUGUGAUUUCGCUUCAUCUCUGUUUCAGUUGAUUCACAACCUCCUUGAUCUUACAGAUUGAGCGCUUUUGUUUUGGCUUUGUUGAGUUUGAGUCACUAAAAUCCAUGCAAGAUGCAAUUGAGGUAUGGUGACCUUCUGAUUCAGUUCCAAAAGCUGAAAUAUUCUCAAGUUUGUUUUUGAUGAGACACUAAGAUUACUUAAAAUGUACUAAACUUCAAAAAGAAUUAGGUAAUUUCAGUGCAAAUUUUUUCAGAUAUUAUCUCUUUCUGGAGGGUUAGAGAUUCUUGCAGGGGCUCAAGAUAGGGCCAUACAAUAAAUUUCUGACUGAUUUUAGGACUUCUUUUUGGUAACUGAACCUUAACAGUUGGAUAUGUAGCUGCCUAUUAGGCCCUACAAGGUCACUUGGUCCAACUAAGAUUAGUUCAUGGAGCUUCCAUGUCGUGCACACUGCAUCACAAACACCUCUAAUAGUUUCAUAACUGAAAUGACUUUAUGACUUGAUCGUGGUAGUUCUUGGAUUUUUAGAUGUACUUCCAUUUUCAUGUUUCAUCAAAUGGAAUUCCUAAGUUUGUACACUUUUGUGUCGCAUAGUGAAGUAACUAUUUUAAAGCAAAAAUUUAGCAGCAACAUCUUUUUUAGUUUAGGGUGUCAUCUAGUUGUUAUGGGCCAUUCUUUGAUGUUAAUGCUUGUACAACCAGGGGUUAUUGUUUGGAUGGUUCAGAAUAGAUCUGACUCUAUGUUAAUGGUUUGUAUUCUUACCUAGUUAACCUUUGUGAGUCUUAUGAAAAGAUAAGGUUAAGUAGAUAUAAUCUUGAUUUAUGUAAAAUAAAACCUACAUAAUUGUUACUGGUUCAACAUCUUUCACCCUUUCUUUCUGAUGGUAUUAAUAGCUCAAAUGUCAAUUUCCUCUCUUUGCAGUUGUAUUGUAUCAUUGUUAUUCCAAUAACAUUGCUUCAGAACAGCAUAGGAUAAUUUUCUAUUAGAAUUGACUCCAGAGUCCAGACUACCGACAACUAUUUCACGGUCAAUUUAUAAGGGAGUAAUGUGAAGCUCAAAAAUAAAGUCUUAUUAUUCUUUAAUUUAUACUCCAUAAUUGGCAGGAAACCAUCUCUAAGUAGGAAGCAACUGGAUUUCUACUUCAUGUAUUCUACUAUACAACACAAUAUCUGAUAGGGAGUGCGUUGAUAAAGCGCUCUGCCCUCCAUUGUUUCUCAUGUGUGAUUAUCCUACAUUAAAUUAAGAAGCAACCAGAUUGUUUCAACAUUGAAAUCUUGUAAACCUGAUUAGUUCUGCAUUGACAGUGCCAUCAAAGAAUAAUAGCUAGUGAAAUUCUACCGAUUGUUCCUUCUUAGAUGUGUUAAAAUAUUGUUUGUAAUUUAUAAAUUGUGUUUGUGUAAGGGUUAUUUCUCAACUUCUGGUUACAUUUUGGAUAACAAAUCUUAUUGCAUUUAAAAUAUGUAAAAAGUGAUAAAACUUGUUUCUCCCUUUUGUUGCUAUGCUACCUUUCAUUUUUGUAUCAAUUUUCAAUUUCUUACAUGAGUCUUCACCAAUCCCUGAUAAACAUUGUUUUAUGGGGUGGAUUCCAACUUGCCCUUGACUAUUAUUUUACUUUAGUUUUUUCAUCAUCGACUUUAAAAUUCUUCUCCUCUUCUUUCCCCCUUUCUUUUUCAUGAAGAUUCUCUAUCUUCUGAAGAUUUUAUUUAUUUGCGGAAAUAUUAAUGCUUUUAGGAUUUCAUAUCCUUACAAUGUAACAAUGGGUUUGAAUAUUAUUAGUUGCAAGAGUGAUGGUUAUAAACUGAAACUGCUAUUUCAGACUUUACCCAAAAACUAUUUUUGGAAAUAAAGUAGGAGCCUAGUUUGUUGCUUUCAAGAUGAUUAUUCAGGUUACGCUCGGAUCAAAUUGUGUUGCUACAGAUAUGUUUGUUUAUUGUUAUUAUUGACUCUUCAAUUGUGUACAUCAUUUUAUUUUCACCUAUAUGUCGAAAUGCUAAACACAUUUGAAACAUUGUUUUCUGAUCUAAUAUUGAAUUCGUUGCGGGCUUAUCAUUAUCUUUUAUUCAUCAAAUGCAGUUAUAGGUUUCAUUAUCAUAAGUUAGUUUGUGUGUGUGCGCAUCUAUAUACAUACAUACAAAUGCAGUUGUAUUCAUGGCUCGUCACGGAUUCUUUUUUUCAAACUUUUAGGCAUCACCAAUCAUGAUUGGAGGGCGUCAAGCUUAUGUUGAGGAGAAGAGAACCACAACACGAGGCAAGUAUCUUUCUUGCUCCUCUUAUUUAUUGGAGUAUAUUUUGCAGGAAUUUAUGUCAUGAUCAUGGUAACUUAGUGACUUGGUGUGGCUUCAAAUUAAAAAAACAUAUAGUUUCAUGUUAUUUAGACUGCCUAUUUUUUUUGACCAUUUGAUGCAUAGGCUAAGCAUCUCCAAAUUGCAUGAUUUUUGGUAUGUGAGCAAUUUAGAGGUAGUAGAUCAUAUCUAAUAGCUCGAUUCAUCAAUGUAGAUCCCUUAUCAUCCAAUUUAGACCUGACUGGAUCAGAGUGAAGAUCCACUUGAGUGUGGCCAAUUCUAGCUUGUUAUGUAUCAUAUCAAUAGACCGCUAGUUUAUUUAAUUCAAUAGAUGUAUUGGACUAGUUUGACUGAUGUUAAUGCUUUUGCAAUCUGCAGUUGUUAAUGGUGUUGUAACCAAUGGCGCCAAUGGUAAUAGUGGGAGAGGGCGCUUCCUAUCAGGAAGGGGUGGUUUUCGAAAUGACAAUUUUAGGGGACGUGGAGGUUUCGGGGGCAGCAUGGGCUACAGGAGGAGUGAAUUCAGGAACCGAGGUGAGUACAUGGGCCAGGGUCAUGGCCAAGUAGCCCGUGUUGGUGAUGUUUAUCAGCAGCGAGUCUUUCAGAACGGGAAUGGUAGGAUUGGCCGCGUCAAUGGGCUGAAGCAAACUGCAGUUUCUGCAUGAAAGUUUUGAAUGAAGGGGAACCUUCCUUAGUGAGGACCAGAACUGAUGACCUUUUUCCUUUUUAACAGAUUAGUGGUUUGUUCUUCAAUGAGGAAUGUGAUAUAUGAUUCCAAAACCAUGCCAAGGAAAUCGUUUUUGACUUGGUUGUCACAACUGCGGAUAACAAUUCUUUCUUUUUUUUUUGAAUUAGUGUAUCCUAUAUUCUUCUCUGAGUUAGAUUUAGGUCAAGUGCCAAGUAUAUCUGUGGCUGAAUUUGGGGUUAAGUAUAGAUUCUGAAGCUCAAAUCAGUUGCUGCCAAAUUAGUGCUCUGAAUUAGCUCAUCUUGUGGAGAUUGAAAGAAAAUCUUUGAUAAUCGAUUGUUUUCUAGUGCAAUUACUUCAAAAAUUUUGCUCAUUGUACUAGUUUAACUUGGGAAAUUUGAAAGCCUGAUGGGCAAGCAACUUCUGCAACAGAGAUCAACAUAUCCACUCUUAUGUAUAUAUGGUAGUUUUUACCUUAAUUGUGUUAUACUCCCUCCGACAUUUUUGGAUAAUUUGGCUGAAUUGCUAAUGAAGCAAGAGGCUUGCUAGGUGAGUAAUUUCUUGCUGAAGGUUCUGCGUAAUUUCAAUUUAUCCCAUGGCAUGGAACAUGUGCUGCUGUGACACCAUCCAAGUUGAUUCCCUGUAUUAUCUUUACGGGCAUUGGAGUUCGUUGCAUUGUGUAUAAGCACUCCGCAAUGCAGAAAGAGAGGUUGUCACUGUCUGCCUAAACUCGAUACUUCUUUGGUAAACUAUGAUCUUUGGACAGGCAUCGUGGAAAAGGUUAUUGAUGACCGGUUAACCAUAGUUGUUGAGGAAGACAAUUGGGUGCGGAAAUAGUGCCCUUUCGCUUGGUUAGCUUGUAAUUUUGCCUUUCAUCAGUUGCUGCUUGCUCAUACUUUGUGACAUGACGUUAUGAUGAACUCUUUCUUUCCCGUGUGCUUCUACUUGGAUCAUUCUCCAAAAAUGAAGUGUUACUUGUGGGUUAACUGUUGGCUCACUUCAGAUAUAUUUCUGGUUUGUUUCGCAUUUCUUUCACUUUGGCAAGAGGCUUGUCUUUCAAGUUCCAACCAGUCCCCAGUGCUUGUUUGUGAAGUUCAGUGAUUAAUUUGCCAUUUAUUUUUGGAUUUUUUGAUUAUCGUAAUCCUGACCGUGAAUUUGGCUCAAUUUUGUGUCACUAUUUGUGUCUUCUGCCUGUAUGCAAAAUGAAAGUUUCUGAAUGAUACCCCAGCCAUAAAAAGGCUGGCUCUGGCUGAAAUGCUGAUCCAGAGGCCAUGAGUAAGCAUUGGCCAGAGCUUGAGCAAGAUAUACAUUGAUGCCAGAUAUCAGGUGCGUUUCACCUACUAAUUUCCAUUCUCAACCUGUAUUAGUAAUCGUGUCCAUAUUCCAAAUCAUGUAAAUUUGAGAAUUGGCUGAGUUUGAUAGGAAUAGUUAAAGACCCGUCCUUUAGUUGCAUAUGAUCUUAUUCUUUCAGUAAAUUUUACGAAUAAGCUGACUAUGUGAGAUCUGUUCUUUUAAUUUAUAAUUAAAAGAACAGAAACCAAUGGUUGAGGAUGAUGUUUUCAUUGCUGUUGUAUUCUGUUGUACCUUAAGAAAUUAUUUGAGGUUUGGUUAGCUUUUGUUGGGUUUUGUUUUCGGAUUGUUCAUAUGAUCAUCAUGAAUCUCGCAUAAAGAUCUUCUGAGACUAUAUUAUCUUCUAAGACUACAUUUUCUAUAGUUGAGGUUCGACUAAAGUGAAGUUACUGAGGAUUUUGGAGACUUGAAGGGAGCAUAAAGUAGAUCCUGGAAGUAAAUCAUUGUAAAUUUUUACAUAUUCAGCUAUACGUACUUUAUUUCGCGGGGCUAUUUUUAAUAUCAACUUGGGAUUAUGAGUCCAAAAGUGCUUUUUUUCUUUGUUUACAAGUUCAAUAGGUUCAAUAGUGUUGUAUUGGGGUUUUGAUAUGCUAAUGUUAUUGUGCUGUUCUACAUUCAAGAAAAGAGGGGAAAAUGAUUCUGGAUGCCCAUGAUUUAUGCAUGAAAAGUUUAUCGAACUCACAACCACUGAUCUGGCAACUCCACGAUACACCAAUACAUCAUUUUUGGCAACAAAUCUAUUAGUUGCAUUAAUUCUCCUUUGCCACUUAGGAAGAGGUGUGUACUUCACAAAGGCUGCAUAGCAUUACUUGUUAAAGAAUGGCAGGAAUCACAUAUUGCACCUAUCACGGAUCGAAAUUAUACACAAUGUUGAGUAAAUUAAUGUGAAUGAUAUUUUUUAUUUAACUAGAUAAUAGAAAUAGUAUAUUAUUUAUUUGUUAAAUGAUAAUAAUAAUGAUUAUAAAAUCUCUUCUUUAUUUGCAUGACUAAGUUGACAAAAUUUAAUCCAGAGUUUCUAAGACUUGCUUUGGUUAACUAUUUUUGAAUUUUUGGAUUUUCAUGUGAUCUUGGUAAUGAGUUUUUAAGAUGGUAUUUUCUCUCUUGAGUGAAAAAUACAAAGAUCUUCUAAAUAUAACACUAGAUUUGUCAACUAUUUUAUUACCUAUAAUUGUGACACCAAUAGUUCUUAUAUAAAUAUAUUUUUUAGCAUAUAAAUUCUAGCGUAUAUUUUUAAUGCUUGGUCCUCCCUUUGACUAAUUUUCGGCAAUUAACGCAUAGGACUUGUUUAAUUUGUUGAAAAAGAAUGGGAAAAAAUGUGGUCAAUGGAAAUAUGAAGAAAGAUCUCUCGUUUGGUUGAAGUUUUUAAAGAAAAGAAAUAGAAAGUAGUAUUUCCAUGAAAAUAAGAUUCUCAUAUUUUAUGGAAAAGAAAAACCUACGAGGAAUAUGGAAUAUCUGAUUUUUCACCGGUUGGGAAUUGAGAUCCUUUUUUCUCCAAACUACUCUCAAGCCAUCAAAAUCUAUGGAUAAGAUCUUUUUCUUUAUUAAAAGUAUAAUAGAUAUUUCAUAUAAUUUUUUUUGGAAAGUAAAUGCUCAAUCAAACAUAAGCUACUCGGAAUAUACCACUUUACUUAACCAAAUAUGUUAAAAUCAUUUUUUCAGACAUCAUAUUUUUUAAAAAUUUGAUGAGAAAAACAACUCCAUAAAGAGCAAUUGAUGUCUAUUCCAACCCAGGGUCAAGUAUUAAUCUAACCUUAUGGCUUAUUUAGCCCAUGUGGAUGCUACAUGUAUUGGGCCAGGAUCAGGAUUAGUCAAAAUAGUAACAUUAACAAUUCGUUAUAGAUAUUGCUCGAAAAAGAUCCCAUCAUAAUUUUGUAAUUCUUUGAGAAAGCAUGUUAGAUUAUGUAUAAUUUUUAUUCAGGAAAUUCUCAUAUAAAAUUUGAGAAAAUUAAAAUGCUAUAAAUUUCUCAAGAUUUUGCUAGAUAAAAAUAUGAUAACUAGAGAAAUUUCUAUCUCACUUUUUUUGAAACAAUAGUCAACUGUAGAUUCUGUUUUUGCUCUUCGUGUUGUAUUCAAACGCCAAAAGUAUUCCUUGUGGAGAAUUUAAAAUUAAUUUAUUCAUAUUUUUGUAGUUUAACCAAAAAUAUCAUUUAACUUGUGACUAUGACUUAUAAUUUUAUAAUUUGUCUAGAAUGCGAUCAACAAAAUUUUAUGUCAAGGAUUGACAUAAAAAAAAUGAAAAUAUUCAAAGCAUGCAAGAUGGUAUAAACAAACACCACUUGACAGAGACAUUAGAAAUAUUAGUUAAAUAUUUGGAAAAUUGUUUGAAAUUUAAAACAUUAAAGAUAUUCAAGGUAUUUAAUCCCUGAGAAAUUUCCUUAACCAGUUUGCAUCAAAAAAAAUUAUAUUUAUAUAUAAAUUUUUCAAGGACAUUAAUAAAAAAGGGUAUAAAAUUAGUUUUACUUAAAAAGGUGAUAUAUUGACACUAUCAACCAAAAAUCUAAUAGGAGGGGUACUGUAAAAAAUUAAAAUAUUUUGAGAUACACACACACACAUAAGGAGUGAUUUUCGGAUGUUAGCUAAAUAUAAGCCAUACUUUUACGUGUAUAUAUGCAAAAUGCUUUAAAACAGCAUAAAGAACUUUGUGUUUUGUAUUAAAAAAUGGUAGAUAUGCAUGCCAUGUACCUGUAAGCUUCUUAUAUAUUUCAAAUAUUAGUAUAUGGGCACAUGUAAAUAAAUAAGUAGAACAAACAUUUUGGGAUUUAUCCACAAUCAAAUUGAUCUGGUGUGAUAAAGUUGUAAACGAGAUAAGAUUCAUUAAAUUUAGUCUAAAAAAGGUAGUUAAGCAAGUAGAUAAUUUUUUAAUUAUUUACAUUGUCCAACUAUUUGAGAUUUUAUUUAAAAGUUAAUAAGAUUUUUUGAGAAAAUCAGUAACAAACUUAAAUAGAAAAAUGGAUAUAUCCAUGCAUUUGACUCUCUCUUUUAGUUCGUGCAUAUGCUUCUAAAUGAGAGAGAGAGAGAGAGAGAGAGGAAGACCCGCCAAUAUUGUCAUUACGAAAUCCAGAUUUUUUUGGAAACACACCAUCCAAGAGAAACUCGUUAGUAAACAAAGUGAUAUGACUAAUGGGACAAGCUCUAGUUCACUAUAUUUGUAAUAAAUUUUAACUUAUUAAUUUAGAGUUGCUUUGGUGGUUUUAUGCCAAAAUAGAAGGACUUAGACCCUCAAA
rnacentral:lncRNA from 1 species